UACAGAGGGGGCGAGCGUUGUUCGGAAUUACUGGGCGUAAAGGGCGCGUAGGCGGCCCGCUAAGUCGAACGUGAAAUCCCCGGGCUCAACCCGGGAACUGCGUCCGAUACUGGCGGGCUUGAAUCCGGGAGAGGGAUGCGGAAUUCCAGGUGUAGCGGUGAAAUGCGCAGAUAUCAGGAGGAACACCGGUGGCGAAGGCGGGUCUCUGGGCCGAUACUGACGCUGAGGAGCGAAAGCGUGGGGAGCGAACAGG
rnacentral:rRNA from 1 species